CUACGGGAUGCUGCAGUGGGGAAUAUUGGACAAUGGGGGAAACCCUGAUCCAGCAAUGCCGCGUGUGUGAAGAAGGCCUGCGGGUUGUAAAGCACUUUCGGUUGGGAGGGCUGCUUCUAGCACUAAUAUUGUUGGAAGUUGACGUUACCUUCAGAAGAAGCACCGGCUAACUCCGUGCCAGCAGCCGCGGUAAUACGGGGGUGCAAGCGUUAAUCGGAAUUACUGGGCGUAAAGCGCGCGUAGGCGGCUAGAUCAGUCGGGUGUGAAAGCCCCGGGCUUAACCUGGGAACUGCAUCCGAUACUGUCUAGCUUGAGUACAGGAGAGGAGAGUGGAAUUCCACAUGUAGCGGUGAAAUGCGUAGAUAUGUGGAGGAACACCAAUGGCGAAGGCAGCUCUCUGGCCUGAUACUGACGCUGAGGUGCGAAAGCGUGGGGAGCAAACAGGAUUAGAUACCCCUGUAGUC
rnacentral:rRNA from 1 species